rnacentral:rRNA from 1 species
GUCCACGCCGUAAACGAUGGAUGCUAGAUGUUGGGGUAUUGACCCUCCAGCGUCGCAGUUAACGCAUUAAGCAUCCCGCCUGGGGAGUACGGCCGCAAGGCUAAACUCAAAGGAAUUGACGGGGCCCGCACAAGCGGUGGAGCAUGUGGUUUAAUUCGACGCAACGCGCAGAACCUUACCUGGGUUAAAUCCGCCCGAAUCCUGCAGAGAUGUGGGAGUGCUCUUCGGAGAAUGGGCGAGAAGGUGCUGCAUGGCUGUCGU